AUUACUUCUAAGGAAGGCAGCAGGCGCGUAAAUUACCCAAUCCUAAUACGGGGAGGUAGUGACAAGAAAUAUUGAUAUUGGACCCAAAGGGUACAAUGAAUUGAAAUGAGAACAAUAUAAAAAACUUAACGACUAACAAUUGGAGGGCAAGUCUGGUGCCAGCAGCCGCGGUAAUUCCAGCUCCAAGAGUGUAUAUUAAAGUUGUUGCGGUUAAAAAGCUCGUAGUUGAAUUUCUGAAAAUAAUCUUGUGAUUGAUUUAACCGUCAUGAACAAAAAUUGUUUACAUACUUGAUAGAUGGAAACAUUUAUCUUAAUGACUUUGAAAAAUUAGAGUGUUCAAAGCAUGAUUCACAUUUGAAUAAUACAGCAUGGGAUAAUAUAAUAUGACAUUAGUUAAAAUUUGUUGGUUUCUUUGGCUAAUGUAAUGAUUAAAAGGGAC
rnacentral:rRNA from 1 species